GUUCCACCGAUCUGAAAGGUCUGGGAGUCGAUUCCUAAACGAGUUAAUUCCCCGGUUCCAGUCUUGGGCACUCGAGAGUCGAUUCCAAAGCUUUGGGAUUGAUUCCACACAGUGAUUCGAGACAAGGCUCACAGCUGAUCAGGUUCCACAGGUAAAGGCCUAAAGGUCCAUGUAGUGUCUCAUAUGGAUUUCCAAAGGCAUUGUACAUGAAGAAGGCAGAACACACAGAUGAGAAGAGGAUGAGCACUGCACAGAAGAUGAUGACACUCACAUGCAGACUAGCUGGGAUCACAUCCACCAGCACAUUUCCUGUAGUGGAGUCAGAAAAGAAAGACCGUAUUUUCAGGAGAUUUAAUGGAAAUUCAGGGUCCCCAUUUGAUCCUGAGCUUUGGGUUACUGUCCGUGUGGAGUUUUACAUGUUCUCCUCGUGUCUGUGUGGGUUUACGGUGGGUUCUCCCUUUUCUUCGUGGAUUGCCCUAGGUAAAUUGCCUUAGGAGUGACUGAGUGUUUGAAAAUUUUUUGCUCUGUGGACUGGCAUCCCAUCCGGGGUGUAUUCCCACCUCACACCCAGUGUUCCCAGGAUAGGCUCCAGAACAAGGAUUAAGCAGUUACUGAAGAUGAAUGGAUGAAUUUGCAAUUGUGUUGGACUUUAAUAGCUGGAGAAUUUAAUAGCAGGCUGUUAUUAGUUGUGUAUUUAGCACAGAAGAUCACAUUUAACUCUCCUGUAUUUGCAUGAUUUCAAUUAGUAUAUUUAGAUUAUGAUUGACAGGGAAUGUGGAUGAGGUUUUGGUGCAGCCUCUGUGGUGUGUUCCUCACUGCUGUCUUCAAAGUGAGUUAAUGGAAGGAGUAAUUUUAUGGCUUUAGUAUUAAAUUCUCACAAACUCUCACACACACACACACACACACACAGCGAUCAUAUUAAAUACUACUGGAAGUCGCAUCUCAAGCCACGUGUUUAAAAAAAAAUCAAAAAAAAAAUCCUGGAGGCUUGGAAAAAGUCCCAAAAGUCAAAAGUACCCAGGUCUAAGAGGGAGAGAGAGAAUAAAAAUUUCCAUAUGACCUAUGCUACUUUUAAUUUCGUUAUUAUAGGUGUACUGUAACCUAGGGUUUUCAUUUCAUACAAACCUGCGGGUUGACAUUAUGGUCUCUAAAGGCGAAAGACUGACACAGCUGCUUGGGUUACUCACAAGAGAA